rfam:Mycobacterium sp. 1274756.6 contig_48, whole genome shotgun sequence.
CAGGUUCCGGUUCACGCCCGAUGCGUUGGUCGGGCGACCCGGCGGCC